AGACCUCCGUGGGUUGAUAAAUUUGAUUUCCAUUGAUAAUUUUUGUGUGAUUUUGUUGUCAGCACAUUCAACUAUGUAAAGAAAAAAGUAUUUAAAAAGAAUAUUUCAUUCAUUCAGAUCUAAGAUGUGUUAUUUUAAUGAUCCCUUUAUUUUUUGCAAAGGAUGACGGAUUAAUGUCCUGUAUUAUGUCGUAUAAUCUGGAGAUUGUGAUAAGGGUUAAGAUAUGAGCACCUCUCGGCUGGUCACUUAGUAGGCUCGAGUGGAAAUGAAGGGAAAUGUUUUUCACUAUGUAUAUGACUAUGAAGUAACACAUGAAUCAGUGGAAAGACCUCAAUUAGUAACCAAACAAAGUGUUAAACAUAUAUUAUAUUUGAGACUCUUUGCCCUGAUGACAUCUCUGCUCUCUCCAUAUUAGAACAAGGCCCAACAGCAGUAGGCUUCAAUGACAAUAGUAGUGGUGAAAUGGGAUCAGGGCUGAGUAAGGCAUCAAUGACAAUAGUAGUGGUGAAAUGGGAUCAGGGCUGAGUAAGGCAUCAAUGACAAUAGUAGUGGUGAAAUGGGAUCAGGGCUGAGUAAGGUAGUAGUGAAAUGGGAUCAGGGCUGAGUAAGGCAUCAAUGAUAAUAGUAGUGGUGAAAUGGGAUCAGGGCUGAGUAAGGCAUCAAUGAUAAUAGUAGUGGUGAAAUGGGAUCAGGGCUGAGUAAGGCAUCAAUGAUAAUAGUAGUAGUGAAAUGGGAUCAGGGCUGAGUAAGGUAGUAGUGAAAUGGGAUCAGGGCUGAGUAAGGCAUCAAUGACAAUAGUAGUGGUGAAAUGGGAUCAGGGCUGAGUAAGGCAUCAAUGACAAUAGUAGUGGUGAAAUGGGAUCAGGGCUGAGUAAGGCAUCAAUGAUAAUAGUAGUGGUGAAAUGGGAUCAGGGCUGAGUAAGGUAGUAGUGAAAUGGGAUCAGGGCUGAGUAAGGCAUCAAUGAUAAUAGUAGUGGUGAAAUGGGAUCAGGGCUGAGUAAGGUAGUAGUGAAAUGGGAUCAGGGCUGAGUAAGGCAUCAAUGAUAAUAGUAGUGGUGAAAUGGGAUCAGGGCUGAGUAAGGCAUCAAUGAUAAUAGUAGUAGUGAAAUGGGAUCAGGUCUGAGUAAGGCAUCAAUGAUAAUAGUAGUGGUGAAAUGGGAUUAGGUCUGAGUAAGGUACUAGUGAAAUGGGAUUAGGGCUGAGUAAGGUACUAGUGAAAUGGGAUUAGGGCUGAGUAAGGUACUAGUGAAAUGGGAUUAGGUCUGAGUAAGGUACUAGUGAAAUGGGAUUAGGGCUGAGUAAGGUACUAGUGAAAUGGGAUAAGGUCUGAGUAAGGUACUAGUGAAAUGGGAUUAGGGCUGAGUAAGGUACUAGUGAAAUGGGAAUAGGUCUGAGUAAGGUAGUAGUGAAAUGGGAUCAGGUCUGAGUAAGGUAUCAAUGAUAAUAAUAGUAGUAGUGAAAUGGGAUUAGGUCUGAGUAAGGCAUCAAUGAUAAUAAUAGUAGUGGUGAAAUGGGAUCAGGUCUGAGUAAGGCAUCAAUGAUAAUAGUAGUGGUGAAAUGGGAUUAGGUCUGAGUAAGGCAUCAAUGAUAAUAGUAGUAGUGAAAUGGGAUCAGGGCUGAGUAAGGUAGUAGUGAAAUGGGAUCAGGUCUGAGUAAGGUAUCAAUGAUAAUAAUUGUAGUAGUGAAAUGGGAUCAGGUCUGAGUAAGGUAUCAAUGAUAAUAAUAGUAGUAGUGAAAUGGGAUUAGGUCUGAGUAAGGUAUCAAUGAUAAUAAUAGUAGUAGUGA